rnacentral:rRNA from 1 species
UUACGGGAGGCAGCAGUAGGGAAUUUUCGGCAAUGGGGGAAACCCUGACCGAGCAACGCCGCGUGAGGGAUGAAGGUCUUCGGAUCGUAAACCUUUGUCUUUGGGGACGAUAAUGACGGUACCCAAGGAGGAAGCCACGGCUAACUACGUGCCAGCAGCCGCGGUAAUACGUAGGUGGCAAGCGUUGUCCGGAAUUACUGGGCGUAAAGGGCGUGUAGGCGGCUUUUUAAGUCAGACGUGAAAUCUCUGGGCUUAACCCAGAAACUGCGUUUGAAACUGGAGAGCUUGAGGACCGGAGAGGGCAGUGGAAUUCCCAGUGUAGCGGUGAAAUGCGUAGAUAUUGGGAGGAACACCAGUGGCGAAGGCGACUGCCUGGACGGCACCUGACGCUGAGGCGCGAAAGCUAGGGGAGCAAACGGGAUUAGAUACCCCGGU